rnacentral:lncRNA from 1 species
ACAUGAGAUUUGGAGGGGACAACCAUUCCAACUAUAUCAUCAUGGUUCAACCAAUAUGAGGAAACAAACUGCCUGGGAAGAAAGUGAAAGAGUUCCCUACUAGAAGUUUCCAAACUCCAAGCAGGAGAGAGAGAACAGGAAAUCAGGAAGCAGAAGACAAGUGACCUAGGGUAUAAUCACAGUGAGGCCAGAGGCAGAGCCCCCUCAUAUCACCCUGACUUAAAGCAAACAACCUGCCACAUAAAGAGGAAGAAAAGCUGCCACAGCCUGCUUCUGAGAGGCAGCAUUUCAUGUAAAGGAGUGGGCAUGGCCCUACUAACUUCAGCAGUAAACAGAUUAAGACACCAAGAAACAGAAAGAACACAAUAUGUUGAAACAUUAAGUCUCAGCAAUAUUUGAGAAAAUCUUUCAUAAUAAAAAGAAAAUAACCUCGGACCAAGAAAGAUUGCUUUUAGAUGAAAAACAUGAUUUCAGAAAUGAAUACCCAAAUGGAGGCAAUAAAUAGUGAUACUGCUAAAAACUGAAUCAAUGAAUUAAAAGAAACCUUUGGAAAUUCUCCGAGGUCACACACACACACAUACACACUCACAAACACACACACAAAACAAAAGGGAAAGGAGGUAAAUAUAAUAUGCAAAAGGCUAAGAUUCCUAGAUAAGAGAGUCAGGCAAUCCAUCACAGGAAUUUGAGAACUGAGCUGACAGAGGAGACAGAGAAGAGGCAUUCAAAGAAAUUAUCAUAAGGACCUCUGCUUCCAACCA